rnacentral:lncRNA from 1 species
CAUUACAAUUAUUAACUCAUUUAAUACCAGCGAUUUCUGCUAAAUUCUUUCUAUUGGAAAACAUUAUUUCUCGGGGAAAUUUACUUCCUCAUCUGCAGGACAGUUCACAAGCUUUCGGCCUCCCUUGCACUGGGCAGUUCUCAGACUGAGCAGGGCGCUUCCUGGCACCAGCAGGACUGUUCUUAGCCCUGAAGAGAGAGCGCUUUCCAGCAGCCUAGGAGCAGGAGCGGCCUCAUCGCAGGCUGGACCCCCUUCCAUCUCGCCGGACCCAGAGAGGCAGCCGGGUAGCAGCGGAUCCCCACUUUCCAAUCACUGUCCUCUCUGGAACGUCAGGACCACCCCUUCGGGCUGCUGUCCUCUCACUUUGCUUCAGGUCCUCUAUUCCCCUCCCUCACUUCCCUGCCUCUAAAGCCAUGGCUCCUACCUGGCUGCAAAUCGCAGCCAUGGAGGAACUGUAUGAUAACUCAACGCGAAGCCCGUCCGGAAGUGAGACCAAGCACCUCCAGCGUCCAGCUCGCCAGGUGAUUCUGCAGCCCAGGGUUUCAAGUUUGUCCGGGCUGACUUCUGCAGUUGGGAUUCAACCGACCCUGAAUUUCAUAUGUGAAUAAACCAGAGAGGGUCCAUGUGCUGAGGAACUUGAACUAUUUCCACUUGAGGCCAUGAUAACCACUGUUGUCAAACUUACUGCUUCAUGCUUCUCUCAAGACUCAGAAGCCACAAAAUGCUCCAAAGUAAAUAUCCAA